rnacentral:rRNA from 1 species
GUGCUGCAUGGCUGUCGUCAGCUCGUGCCGUGAGGUGUUGGGUUAAGUCCCGCAACGAGCGCAACCCUCGCCUUUAGUUGCCAGCAUUCAGUUGGGCACUCUAAAGGGACUGCCGGUGAUAAGCCGAGAGGAAGGUGGGGAUGACGUCAAGUCCUCAUGGCCCUUACGGGCUGGGCUACACACGUGCUACAAUGGCGGUGACAAUGGGCAGCGAAGGGGCGACCUGGAGCGAAUCCCCAAAAGCCGUCUCAGUUCGGAUUGCACUCUGCAACUCGGGUGCAUGAAGUUGGAAUCGCUAGUAAUCGUGGAUCAGCAUGCCACGGUGAAUACGUUCCCGGGCCUUGUACACACCGCCCGUCACACCAUGGAAGCUGGUCACACCCAAAGUCGUUAUUCUAACCGUUUGGAGGAAGGCGCCUAAGGUAGGAUUGGUGACUGGGGUGAAGUCGUAACAAGGUAGCCGUACCGGAAG